rnacentral:rRNA from 1 species
AGCCUGAUGCAGCAACGCCGCUUGAAGGACGACGGCCUUCGGGUUGUAACCUCUUUUAGCAGGGAGAAGCGAAAGUGACGGUACCUGCAGAAAAAGCGCCGGCUAACUACGUGCCAGCAGCCGCGGUAAUACGUAGGGCGCAAGCGUUAUCCGGAAUUAUUGGGCGUAAAGAGCUCGUAGGCGGUUUGUCGCGUCUGCUGUGAAAUCCCGAGGCUCAACCUCGGGUCUGCAGUGGGUACGGGCAGACUAGAGUGCGGUAGGGGAGAUUGGAAUUCCUGGUGUAGCGGUGGAAUGCGCAGAUAUCAGGAGGAACACCGAUGGCGAAGGCAGAUCUCUGGGCCGUAACUGACGCUGAGGAGCGAAAGGGUGGGGAGCAAACAGGCUUAGAUACCCUGGUAGUCCACCCCGUAAACGUUGGGAACUAGUUGUGGGGUCCAUUCCACGGAUUCCGUGACGCAGCUAACGCAUUAAGUUCCCCGCCUGGGGAGUACGGCCGCAAGGCUAAAACUCAAAGGAAUUGACGGGGACCCGCACAAGCGGCGGAGCAUGCGGAUUAAUUCGAUGCAACGCGAAGAACCUUACCAAGGCUUGACAUAUACGAGAACGGGCCAGAAAUGGUCAACUCUUUGGACACUCGUAAACAGGUGGUGCAUGGUUGUCGUCAGCUCGUGUCGUGAGAUGUUGGGUUAAGUCCCGCAACGAGCGCAACCCUCGUUCUAUGUUGCCAGCACGUAAUGGUGGGAACUCAUGGGAUACUGCCGGGGUCAACUCGGAGGAAGGUGGGGAUGACGUCAAAUCAUCAUGCCCCUUAUGUCUUGGGCUUCACGCNUGCUACAAUGGCCGGUACAAAGGGCUGCAAUACCGUAAGGUGGAGCGAAUCCCAAAAAGCCGGUCCCAGUUCGGAUUGAGGUCUGCAACUCGACCUCAUGAAGUCGGAGUCGCUAGUAAUCGCAGAUCAGCAACGCUGCGGUGAAUACGUUCCCGGGUCUUGUACACACCGCCCGUCAAGUCAUGAAAGUCGGUAACACCUGAAGCCGGUGGCCCAACCC